rnacentral:rRNA from 1 species
UAGUCCACGCCGUAAACGAUGUAUACUAGAUGCUGAGGGAGUUGACCCCCACAGUGUCGAAGCUAACGCGUUAAGUAUACCGCCUGGGGAGUACGGCCGCAAGGCUGAAACUCAAAGGAAUUGACGGGGGCCCGCACAAGCGGUGGAACAUGUGGUUUAAUUCGACGCAACGCGGAGAACCUUACCUGGGCUUGACAUCUGUGGAACACCCUAGAGAUAGAGUGGUGCCCUUCGGGGAACCACAAGACAGGUGCUGCAUGGCUGUCGUCAGCUCGUGUCGUGAGAUGUUAGGUUAAGUCCUGCAACGAGCGCAACCCCUGUUAUCAGUUGCUACAGCAAUGGGCACUCUGAUAAGACUGCCGGUGUGAAACCGGAGGAAGGUGGGGGAUGACGUCAAGUCCUCAUGGGCCCUUACGCCCAGGGGCUACACACGUGUUACAAUGGCCGGGUACAAAGGGGUCGCGAAGCCGCGAGGGUGAAGCCAAUCCCAUAAAACCGGGU